UACGGAGGGUGCAAGCGUUAUCCGGAUUCACUGGGUUUAAAGGGUGCGUAGGCGGGCAGGUAAGUCAGUGGUGAAAUCUCCGGGCUUAACCCGGAACUGCCGUUGAUACUAUCUGUCUUGAAUAUCGUGGAGGUAAGCGGAAUAUGUCAUGUAGCGGUGAAAUGCUUAGAUAUGACAUAGGACACCCAUUGCGAAGGCAGCUUACUACACGAUCAUUGACGCUGAGGCACGAAAGCGUGGGGAGCAAACAGG
rnacentral:rRNA from 1 species